CAUUGCGUCACGCGGUCACGUGACCUAUUGCGGGAAGCAUAAAAUCCAGUAGUGGGCUGCUUCCAGGAAGAGCGAGAGGGACGUUGCUGCAGGAGCCAACUACUGAAGCCGUGGGUCGUCGUGCGAGAGUGUUUAAGUGUGAUUUAUCUGCGGAAUUGGCCAUGUUGGAUGGCGAGCUAGAGCCUGAACUAGAGUCUGAAGCUUUAUGCCUGGAACCGAACCAACCGAACUGAAUCCACCCAGCCGGGCGGGGAGGAUGAACUGCUGCUUACAGAAGAGAGCGCAAAAAAAGGGUGAAACGUUGGAGCAGACUGAAGCCGAGAGAGUGAGGACACAAUAGUGCUACUUAGGCUCCCUGGCAACUCUCCGAGAGCUUGUUAGGUUCCUGAGUGAAGGCGGCGGCGUUAAAUGGAGCUGGAGGAGAAGCGCAGAAUGGGAAUAAAUGCGCCUGGCAGUGGUGAGGGCCCAGGCGAGCCUAAAAUGAGACAGGUGAGGCCCCGUCACUGCAAGUCACUGCAGGUAAGCCACCUGUCACAUUUCUGAAGGAGCUGUCUUUAUGGUCCAGCCCACACCUCUUCAGCUUCGCUCACAAUCACACACGUACUUUAAGCACGGUCUCGUCUGGAUGCUUUCAAUAGUCUGCUUUUUAUGCUGUUACAUACUGUAUAUUCAUAUAUUUCUUUAAAAUCCUGCAGCGAACACAAACAACACAUUAUAAUCAAAAAUGUAAUGUGGGAGUGUAAAGAUUAACAUUAGUUGAUGUUGAACUGUUUUGUUUUGUUCCACUCUGUAUGAAGCUUUUGUCUGGAAAUAAAACAUGACUUUUAACAAUAA